rnacentral:misc_RNA from 1 species
AAAUCGCGCGGCUCCAAUCCCACGUUGGAGCUGCACCCGCGCGAUUUGCUGGUUCACCUACGGAGAACCCUACGCUCCUAGUGUUCCGAUAAGGGCUUCGGACCACCCCUCCGGUCCGGACGCCAUCGUUACGUACGCGCCGGGAACGUGACGCAGGAGCAUGCUCUGAUCCUUGACACCAUCGCGAACGACAAUCGGGAUGUCGACGACCGUGAGCACACCGUAGUCGUCACAGUCACAGCCGAUGCCGAUGGUCACCGGAUCGUCCCAGCCUUGCGCGACGAAGAGGUCGCGCACGAGCGUGACUGCCGCCGCGCGAUCCGGCGGAUUGAACCUGAAUACAUCCCAAUUGCAUUCCGAAUACGUAUCCGCGGCAUCGAUAGUGCGUAAAUACAUGCUCGGCACGUACAGGGUGGCUCCGCCCUCGCAGAUAAACGGCUCGACGAUGUCGAGUUCGCGUUGUACCUUCUGGACGUAGGCAGGCGAGGCGGUAGUGACGCAAACGAGUCGAACGCCCCAGCUACACAGCACCGCGGCCGCGUGCAGCGGCAUUUGACCGCAUAACUCGCUUCCGCGCUCCGUCGUCGGAUCAUCCACGCGAGUAAACACGACGAUCCCGAUCUUUCCCUCACCACCACGCGUCACGGGCGCAGUCACAUCCACGUCCCGACGAUCACACCCAGGUAAGGGGGAGCGCCCGCACACGGCAAGUUCGCACGCCGACACCCGAUGCAGCAGUUCACGGUUGGGCCGGUUGCUUGGACAUGUCUAAAACGAUGUGGCCGGACGCGAGCGACAGGUUUUGAACGAACGCGCCACGAUAGACCUCGUACAGCGCCUGCCGCUCUUCGGGAAACGCAUCAUAGAGGGUCGUCAUGACCGCGUAGUCCGCGCCGGCGACAACUGGAUCAAUCACGUGCACGUACGCGACGUUCCCGUCCGGCAGCAACUUCUCCAGCUUCAUGACUUUCCAGCCGGCGGCCUGUUCGCGUCGUUUCGGAUCGGUCGAGUUGGCCAGGGCGUCCCGCAUUCGGCCCAUGACUUGCUCGAAAUCUGCUGCUUUGUCCGGUCGGAUCGCGACCGUCAGCAGGGCGGUCUUACCGGUUAGCGGAAAUGUCGGCUUUGCGUGCUGCGGCGCCGCCGGCUCCUGUCCACCGGCACCCACCGAGCCCGCCACGACCAACAACACUCCGAAACUCAACCCGCGAAUCCACAUCGCCAUCUCCUCGGCCAAGCCAGUUCACACUGACCGGCGAAUCGACAGAGGCCGGCCCUCCGGUCCGGCCCCUGUCUCGGAGGCCCAGCACUGACCAUGGGGAGGCGCGGAAGGCAUGGCUGGGCGCUCCACGGCUCAUGGUCAUCGCGGACGCCGCGCCGGUCCAUCGGGUAAACCAUGGAAAUCUGAAACGGCAAGAGGGAAUGUGCGUCGCGACCCUGGAGCUCACGUGGCGACCGGAUAUACGCGCCAACGAUGUGAGAAGCACGAGAGUUCCAGCGGUCUCCGACGCAGGAUUCCGCCCUGCCUACCGUGUUUCGUAGCUGGCCGGACUGACCGUCAGCGGCCGCUCGAGCCCGACGGCCCCUAUCAGGUAUCAGGGAAGCGCCCGUCGGCGCGGUUGAGGUGGCACUGAAUCUUAAGCCCCUGCCGGGAACCCUUCACCUGCGGCGGCCUGAAUUUACAGAGACGACACAGGGCCGUGACCUUCGAUUCACAUCCGUGGUCGAUCGUGCGCCGAACUCGCCCGUGGACCCUGGUUUUUUGCAGCAAUUUACCUGGCUGUAACGAACUUGUCGCGUCGAGAUCACACGGCGUCCCUACAGUCGGGUUGUUACGUGCCCAUCCGACCACAGGGAAGGUCCCAACACAGAGAAGGAAUGUGUAAUGAGUUUUCGAGGUAGAGCAAUCAGUGCCUUACUCGUCGUUGUUCUCGGCCUGCCUGCCAUCGCGACCGCCCAAACGGCGCCGGCCGCACGGUCGACUGCCCAGACCGUUCGUGUUAACGGCACGGUCCGCGAUGAGGUGAACGGCAUCGCGCUGCCAGGGGUCCCGGUUGAAACCGAAACGGGUCAGGUCGUGUAUACGGACGUCGACGGUCGCUUCGUGUUGCAAGUUGCGCCGGGUGCCCACACGCUCAAGAUCGCGCUCGAGGGCUACGAGCCCAGGACGAUCACGCUCACAGCAGGUACCGAGCGCACGCUCACAGCCGACGUCGGACUGCGGCUGG